CUGGAAAUACAGCUGAGAGCCUCUGUUGACAGAUGGAUGCCUUCUUAAUCACAGCCUGUGACACCCACAUGACUAGGAGGAGGCAGAAAGUGAAUAGGGAGCUCUUAUUACUUUUUGAGUGUCAGCAAGUUAAGACAUCAUCUCCAGAAAACUGUGCUAGUUGGCAUCCAGCAGUGCCCAAGUAUUAUUUAACCCACUAGAACCUGUGACUGCAUCAGCUUUAUAUCCUGGACCUCAGCCUGGAACAAAGGAGAGCUACACUUGGAUACUAAACACAAGUGGUCUGGAUAGAUUAUGCUGGGAAAAGAAGCCUGGAGCAGGCAGUACAGUGGGAGAACAAGUGAAAUCACUCCUUAUACUUGGGGGAAAAUGACAAGAAACGACAGCCACGGAAUCUUCCUCUGGAUAUGAGAACAAAAAUAGCUGUCAGAAUAAAUAGUGGCCACACCCAUGUCACUUCUUCAUGAGGUGACUUGGUGACUUCACAAGAUAGGCCCCACCCCACCCAUAUGAAAUGAGCACCAUCUGGGCUGACCUCCUCUUUCGGGGUCUGUAAUUACUGUACAAAGAUGCAGGUGCGUCUAUGAAAGCGAACUUUGUCGAGAUCUCAGUGACACACUCUGCUUUUCCAAAUUGCCUCAAUUGGCAGUGAAUAUUAGAAAGAGUCAUGGAAUGUCUCUGGAAAGAUACAUAGGAGAACUAGUGACAUUGGAUCCUUGUGGGUAGGGAGACACUGUGUAAGUGCAUCAAAGAGGCUGACUUUUCACUGUGCACACUCCUUCAGACCACUGGAAAUUCGGAAUUGUAUACGGUGUGCAUGUAUUACCUCCUUAAAACUAGCUAGCUACCUAUCUACCUACCUACCUACCCACCCACCUACCUUCCUACCUGGCUAAUUCAUUAGCUAAGUAAAUUAAUAAGGUGUUAAAAAAAAAGAAAAGCCAAAUAACUGGAAACACUGAGAUCUUCCUCUGUUGCUAUUUAGCUAACUGUUCAAUUUAACUCUUAAAUAAGUUAUUUCCUCCGAGUUUUUUUUUCUUUUCUUCCACAGAAACUCUGCACCUAAGCAACACUGGUUUCCUUGUUCUUCCCCAAACAUGCCAGGCACAUCCCAGCCUCAGCUUCUUUGCAAAAACAAUUUCCAAUGCCUGGAAAAAUCUUGUUUUUGUUAUCUCCAUGGCUCGCAUUUUGCUUAGUUUAAGUCUUGACUCAAAUAUCACUUUCUCAAUAAGGCCUACCUUGACUGUCCUAUUUAAAAUUGCAAACUUAACACCCCAGAAUUCCUCAUAUCCAUUUUAUCUUUCAUAGUAAUGAUCUUCUUCUUUUUUUUUUUUUUUUUGAGAUGGAGUUUUGCUCUUGUCGCCCAGUCUGGAGUGCAAUGGCAUGAUCUUGGUUCACCGCAAUCUCUGCCCCCAGGUUCAAGGGAUUCUCCUGCCUCAGCCACCUGAGUAGUUGGGAUUACAGGCAUGUGCCACCAUGCCUGGGUAAUUUUGUAUUUUUAGGUGAGAUGGGGUUUCUCCAUGUUGGUCAGGCUGGUCUCAAACUCCUGACCUCAGGUGAUCCACCCGCCUCGGCCUCCCAAAGUGCUGGGAUUACAGGCAAGCCACUGCACCCAGCCAUAAUGAUCUUCUUUUUAAAGUACUAUAUAAGCAUCUUAGUACUUAACAUCUUUAUUGUCUAUAUCAAACUCUAAAACCAAGCUCCAUGAAGGCAAGGAUUUGUCUUCAAAUCUUUUGCUCUCUGUUACUUCCCCCAGCAUCUAAGUACUGCUUAGCACUUACAGCUUUUCAAGAAAUAAUUGCUGAGUAAAUAAAAGAACUAAUGAGUUUUGCUUU
ensembl:lncRNA LINC01013 long intergenic non-protein coding RNA 1013